rnacentral:rRNA from 1 species
AUUGAACGCUGGCGGCAGGCUUAACACAUGCAAGUCGAGCGGAGAGAGGUAGCUUGCUACUGAUCUUAGCGGCGGACGGGUGAGUAAUGCUUAGGAAUCUGCCUAUUAGUGGGGGACAACAUUUCGAAAGGAAUGCUAAUACCGCAUACGUCCUACGGGAGAAAGCAGGGGAUCUUCGGACCUUGCGCUAAUAGAUGAGCCUAAGUCGGAUUAGCUAGUUGGUGGGGUAAAGGCCUACCAAGGCGACGAUCUGUAGCGGGUCUGAGAGGAUAAUCCGGCACACUGGGACUGGGACACGGCCCAGACUCCUACGGGAGGCAGCAGUGGGGAAUAUUGGACAAUGGGCGGAAGCCUGAUCCAGCCAUGCCGCGUGUGUGAAGAAGGCCUUAUGGUUGUAAAGCACUUUAAGCGAGGAGGAGGCUACUUUAGUCAAUACCUAGGGAUAGUGGACGUUACUCGCAGAAUAAGCACCGGCUAACUCUGUGCCAGCCGCCGCCGUAACAC